UACAGGGGGGGGCAAGCGUUGUUCGGAAUUACUGGGCGUAAAGGGCUCGUAGGCGGCCAACUAAGUCACACGUGAAAUCCCCAGGCUUAACCUGGGAACUGCGUGUGAUACUGGAUGGCUUGGAUUUGGGAGAGGGAUGCGGAAUUCCAGGUGUAGCGGUGAAAUGCGUAGAUAUCUGGAGGAACACCGGUGGCGAAGGCGGCUUUCUGGGUCUCUUCUGACGCUGAGGAACGAAAGCUAGGGUAGCGAACGGG
rnacentral:rRNA from 1 species